rnacentral:rRNA from 1 species
UGGCGGUCUGCUUACACAUGCAAGUCGAACGGAAUCCUUCGGGAUUUAGUGGCGGACGGGUGAGUAACACGUAAGAACCUGCCUCUAGGACGGGGACAACAGUUGGAAACGACUGCUAAACCCGGAUGAGCCGAAAGGUAAAAGAUUAAUCGCCUAGAGAGGGGCUUGCGUCUGAUUAGCUAGUUGGUGAGGUAAGAGCCCACCAAGGCGACGAUCAGUAGCUGGUCUGAGAGGAUGAUCAGCCACACUGGGACUGAGACACGGCCCAGACUCCUACGGGAGGCAGCAGUGGGGAAUUUUCCGCAAUGGGCGAAAGCCUGACGGAGCAAGACCGCGUGGGGGAGGAAGGUUCUUGGAUUGUCAACCCCUUUUCUCAGGGAAGAACGCAAUGACGGUACCUGAGGAAAAAGCAUCGGCUAACUCCGUGCCAGCAGCCGCGGUAAUACGGGGGAUGCAAGCGUUAUCCGGAAUGAUUGGGCGUAAAGAGUCCGUAGGUAGUCAUCCAAGUCUGCUGUUAAAGAGCGAGGCUUAACCUCGUAAAGGCAGUGGAAACUGGAAGACUAGAGUGUAGUAGGGGCAGAGGGAAUUCCUGGUGUAGCGGUGAAAUGCGUAGAGAUCAGGAAGAACACCGGUGGCGAAGGCGCUCUGCUGGGCUAUAACUGACACUGAGGGACGAAAGCUAGGGGAGCGAAUGGGAUUAGAUACCCCAGUAGUCCUAGCGGUAAACGAUGGAAACUAGGUGUGGCCUGUAUCGACCCGGGCCGUGCCGA